AGGACUACGCUGGCGGUGCGCCUAACACAUGCAAGUCGUACGGGCUCCUUCGGGAGCUAGUGGCAGACGGGUGAGUAACGCGUAGGUAAUGUACCUCUUCGCUGGGGAUACCUACCUGAAAAGGUGGCUAAAACCGAAUGAGCUUUUCAAGCGGCAUCGCUUGAUUUGCAAACCUCCGGGGCGAAGAGAUCAGCUUGCGUACUAUCAGCUAGUAGGUGAGGUAAUGGCUUACCUAGGCUUCGACGGUUAGCCGGUCUGAGAGGAUGAUCGGCCACAUUGGAACUGAAACACGGUCCAGACUCCUACGGGAGGCAGCAGUGAGGAAUCUUGCGCAAUGGGCGAAAGCCUGACGCAGCGACACCGCGUGAGGGAUGAAGGUCUUCGGAUUGUAAACCUUUGUCAGUGGGGACGAGAACGGACGGUACCCGCUGAGGAAGCGUCGGCUUACUACGUGCCAGCCGCCGC
rnacentral:rRNA from 1 species